CUCUGGCAUAUAGGCUCUUUCUUUCUUCUGACCUCCCCUCCAACCACCCUCACCCCUUCACCUCCCCCACUGUUCCUUCUACUCCAGGUCUACAACCUACACAUUUGUUCCUUUUCUCUUUUAUUGUAGACUACUUGGAUGCUUCAGCAACAGAGAGAAAAAGGCAAAUUUUCAGCUUUUUUCCCAAGAAAAUGGAACAGUAACAGAAGAUAUACAAUCAGGAAGGAUUUAUGAGGGCUUUCCUGAAGGCAAACUGGCUCUUUUGAGACUAUGGUGGCUGCUCAGCUAUUCUUUCUCAUCAGCCUGCUCUUUGUCAUCCAGCUGGAGCAGAGCCGAGGGAAGGACAUCUCAUUAGGUGAUAAUCUCCUGGAUCCAGAAAAACAUCAAGGAGGCAAUGAGGUCAUCACUUCAUCUCCUGUACUGGAAACAGAACUGGAUCAAGACAGCAUAGGAUAC